AGUUUAAGCUGUAGGCACAAAAGAGAGAGCCCACCUGCAUAAAACACCCACAGCCUCACCCCCCCAUGAUGCCUUUUGCUGAAUCCAUGAGCGAUUUGAUACAGACCCCACGUCAAAUGGCUGAUACUGGAGAGCUAGGGUCUGUCCUUGAUACACUGCCAUAGACCCAUAUACAUCAAAUGGAGCUUGUAUGUUAGCUGUACAAGUGUCAUACUGAGUAGUACACAGCACUUUGAAUUGCAUCCCAUUUAGAUCCCCUUCUGCAUUUCGAGAGGAGCGCCCACCAAUAGGUAUGUCAAUUUUAAGCUGUUAGACUGCCUUUUUUUUCCGGGGAAAAUGGUGCAUGCUGUGGAAAAGCAGGAGAGGUGAGGAAGGGCGAGGUGACACCAGCCUAGGGCUGUCUCCUUGGGCUGUCCCCAUGCUGUGAGCAGCUUCGUGUCACAGAACAGCAUGGCUCCGGAUCAAGAAUGUGUCUGGAAGAGUUGGAGCAGACUGGGAUUUAGAGAUGUGCACAGCCUGCUCUUUGAACUGUGGUUUGGCAAGACUUUGAUCUUAAAUGAUCUCGGGGAGAAUAGGUGUCAAACUGAUAAAAAUGUGCUUUCAAGUUGUUUGCCCAGACCAUGAUUGCACCGGGGCGGCCUUCAGACCUGGAAGCACCACUCCUAAAGGUAAGACCAACCGCAGCUUUCUGUGUCGGCUUGCUUUUUCCCUACAUUUCAGAACCAUCCCGUGGUCCUUUGUAUGUGGUCACCGAUAUAACGCACCUCAAAGGUGGUCACUGAUAUAACGCACCUCAAAGAUGGUCACUGAUAUAACGCACCUCAAAGAUGCUCCUUUUGGAAAGAACUGAGGUACCCAGAAGAAAUGCAUUCCCUCGGGCCCAGUCACUGUCGCAGAGAGAGCAGCUCAGUGCUGCCCUCCACUCCCUGUCAGGAGCUGUAUGGCCAUGAGCCCUCCCCUCAGCCCCUCUGCUUUGUGCCCAGCAAACCCAGGGGCUCAGCGCCCCUCAUCCAUCUUGUCCUCCAGACCCUUCACCAUCUCCGUAUGUUCAAACUUAGCUCAUAUUUUAGUGUUCUUCUCACUCUAUCUUUCCUAUCAAGCAUUUUUCUCCCUUCCCCGUAACUCUUAUGUUGACAGGGGGAGUGGUAGCACCACACACGAUUAAAUAUAUUGAAUUCUUCUCUUCCCAGUGUGUGAGUUGGAAUCAGAUCUUCAGAGACUUUUUAGCACUAUUUGCAGAACUCUGCCCAUUUCUACCUGUAGCAUUGAGAACUCCAAGCAAGGCAAGGAAAAUUUCCUCUCUGCUGGUUGAAAUUGGGGCUCUUAGAGUGGUCUACAGAUGCUCAGGCUUAAGAAAAUGCUUAUAUUUGAAACAGUAGCAGAUCCAGCUGCUUUGUGUCCGUGCACUUUGGCUUCCCACAAGUUUUUCUAGCAGAAAAAGCUUGGGUGGGUUACUGGGAAGUGUCAGGCUUGCUAAAUACCUUGCUGGAGCCCUCUGACAGCAGCUGUUAGCUACUGACAGCAAGAGAAGCAUUGCCAAAGUGCUGAGCUGCUCUGAGGGGAUGUGCAGGGUUAGAUUACCUUAUUGCUGCGUCACAAGGAAUGGACUGCUCACUUUAUUUUGCAUAUCCUGAACUGCAGCACCCCAGAACUUCCUUCUUCCAGGACGCCUCAUGCUGUCACUGCAAAACCGGCCCAAAAAGUGAGUGUCAUGGGGAAAUAAAAACCGUUCUCACGAUGAGUCUGAAUACUUUGAUUUCAGGAAAACACCUCUGUGUCUGUCUGGAAGUGAUCACAGAUUUUCUAAAACGUCUCCAAAGAGGGAACAAUACCUCACUGCACUGCUUGAUUGCAUCUCCUCAGAGCUGUUUCCAUUGGCAUGCACAUGCACCUUUCUACUUACAGAGCACACAUCAUUUUUUCCAUCCCUUGUUUGGGAAGUGCUCAUCCUUUGGUCAGUGCAGAGUGGCUCGCUUCUCCUGUAGGCUGCCAAUGGUUGCAGUGUGUUGUGAUAUGGAAAGUGUUGUUUUUACGUUAUCCCGACACUAAAGAGUUAGGCUGGGGAGAAUUUCCUUAAUUUAAAAAACAGCAUUUGCUUCCAAGUGUUUAAGAUGAAAGCUUACAGCACAGAGUGGUUGAUCACCCAGUAGGUGAACACAGCUCAUAGAACUAUAGAAUAUCCUGUGUUGGAAGUGACCCAUAGGGGUCAUCAGGCCCAACUUCCGUCUCCUACCUCAGUAACGUAUAAAGUUACAAUUUAUGAAAUACAUAUUUCUGCCUGGAUUUUGGACAGCCUUAGAUGUUUUAAUAUGCUAAGCGGAGCAGUGCUGGUUGCAUACUGCUACGUGAGACCAAGAGAGAGGUUGAAGCUCCUGUAAUUAACCGAGCACUCAGAGCACUAAUGAGCUUCAAGCAGCCACGGAGGAGCACUAAGUAGACACUUUCCACAGCACCCAGAGGGGACGCACCAAAGGUGCAUGACUUGAUCCUGCAGCAGAUGCAAGCCACAACCUGCUGUACCAGUAGUGUUGUGACAACCUGGGCUACACUGCUUUUGGAUCCAAGUGAGUGGGUAACCAGCACCAGGUCCUGCCCAGCGCUGUGAGUCAUGUUUUACACCCACAGAAAUGAUUUGUUCCCUCCCUGGCCCACUGGCCUUCCUUUGUUAGUGACUAAUGGUGGAUGCCUAGAGGAGAGCACAAGAACAAGCUGAGCACGUAACAACACUUCACUGCAAUAUUUUCCCAGCCUGGCACUCAAAGUCAGAGGCUCCUAGAUCUAGAAAUGUCAUUUUUUGGUUGCUUAAUUCUUGUUUGCACUGAUUUCCAUUUUUCCUAGGAAAUUGCUUAAUGCACACAAUGUCCCAAGGCAAGGAAUCUGCUGGGAGAAGAGAGAUUGCAUUUGUUUUAAACCUCUCCCUUUGGCUUUCUCCCUUCCUCCAUCCUUUCAUUAGAAGAGACCUGGAACUCCACAUUCUCAUUCACCUUUUCCACACUACGCCUGAUUUUCCCAUGAAGCUCAAUGUGAGCUCAUUGCUGUGGUGGUGUCUCCAGAGUGUGGUCAUAGAACCAUAGAAUGGCUUGGGUUGGAAGGGACCUUAAAGAUCAUGUAGUUCCAACCCCCUGCCAUAGGCUGGUUGCCACCCACCAGCUCAGGCUGCCCAGGGCCCCCUCCAACCUGGCCUUGAGCACCUCCAGGGAUGGGGCAUCCACAGCUCUCUGGGCAGCAGUGCCAGGGCCUCACCUCUCUCUGAGGAAAGGGUUUUCUCAUUCCCACACCUUCCCCUUCCUUCCCACCCAUAUCAUCUAGCAGUCCCUAGUGGCUGAUGGGGUGCAUGUCCCUGAUUUCUGCAGCACUGCAUGUGGCACCGCUUUUCCCCUUCCAACCUCAUUUUGUCCCCUAUCCAGAUGGUAAUUCCCAGAUGUGGAAAUCAGGGCUGUGAUCAUCCCUAUUCUCCUCAGCACAUUUCAUUCAGGGAAGGCUGCAUUCAAGCAUUCGCUUACUGGGUUUUAGGGUCACCAGCUUCAUCUGGGAAAUCUGACACAGCUGGGCAGUUAGUCAUGAGGAAAUAUCAGUGAUGGUAGGGGAGGAUUUGCAGAGAUGGGAGGGUGCAGGAGAUCAAACGAUUCUUAAAGUGCAAAGUCAGUGCUGGCCCAUUGCCUAGCUGGAUCCAACCCCCAAAAGCUUGUGUCAGAAUCUCUCAUGUUUCAGAGCUCCGCAGCUCUGGUUUAGAUCCCUCUCCACUUUGAUUACGAUUUUCAUAGAAUGAAGAAGGUUGGAAAAGACCCAUAAAAGCAGCACGUUCAGCCAUCAUGUUUUGCCCAACCAGGCUUCCUUCCUAGCACAGAAACAAGUUUGAGCAACAGGAUCUCUGCUUGCAGUGCCUCUGCUCCUGUAACAGCCCUGCUGUGGUCAGCAGGAGCAUUUUUGCGUGCACCUGAGCCCAACGUCUCUUCUUUCUCAGCAGAAUUCAGGUGUGGUGGUGGUGAUUUUUUAAUCAACGCAAUGACUUCCCUUGGAAACACAGAUUUUUCUAUCAUGAAUGCUUAGGAAAAUAUUAUUCAGCUAAUGUGUAAUGCAACACUCAGGUUGCAUUAGGUGAUGGGAUGUGAUAGAACACGAUGGUAAUGAGUCACCUCAUAUCAUGUUUUAUUGUGAUGUGUCAGCUGAGAAAGCUGAAGAGCUAAAGAUGUUUUUACCAGAACAAUUAUGAAACAACUGCUGGUUCAUGCAGAGAUUACUAAGUUUUUCCUAGGCUAGUUAGCUGAUAGGUUUAGGUCCGUGGUUUAGCAAUGUUUUGUUAAAGUUGCUAACAAUGAGUUGCUUCAGAACCUAUUUUCCACCCAGAGAAGUCAUCAGCCUGUUGUUGCCACGGGUCAACUUUAAAGCUGGAGUCAUCAGGUCAAGAGUGGCUCUCCAAGCCGAGGAGACAUGAUUUUAUUUUAGGGCUACUUUCUGCUGACUUCGACUAGAAAAAUGUAGUGAUACCAUCACCUGUUGCUGUCAAAGAGCUAACAGUAUGAGGGAAUGAUAUGGAAACGUAUAGAUGUGGUAUUCAGGGACAUGGUUUAGCAGGCAAUAUUGGUGGUAGGUGGAUGGUUGGACUAGAUGAUCUUAGAGGUCUUUUCCAACUAUAAUCAUCCUAAGAUUCUAUUCUAUGACAUUCAGGAAUUUAGAGACUGGCCUCAUGCUUUUCAGUUCAAUCCAAAAACGCCCAGAGACAAGCAGACGAGCUCAUAGGGCUUCCUAGGCAGGCUUUUCCUUCCUAUUACUGCUGGCUGCACUACUGGCACUGGGCUAAAGCACUGUAGUCAUCAAGAAGCAGCAAACAGGAUCCUUCAGGAUUUCUGUUUGUUUUUUAAUAUGUGUUUGGGUGAGUUCUGACCAUCAGGAUUUGUACGUUCAGCUUCUCCUGCAGCGCCAUUUAUUGUGCAUGUGAGUGACCCUAGCAGUGGCUGUGGCCCCAUCGCUCUGUGCUUUCCUCUGGUGGUGACUCCUCUGCAGCCCCACUCCCUCAGCCCUGUAUCUCUCUGCAGCACAAAAAGCCAAUGUAGUUGAACGCUCUGGGGCUGUUUUCAUGUUGAUAAGGUGCAGGUAGGGUGGGACCUUUCCGCUGCUUUUUAUCCUACAGUUGGGCCUGUGGAGGGAAGCUGAAUAAUGGAAAUGUUAACAGACCUUUCGUUACACAUCUAUACAUCAUCACUUAAUUUCUUUACUUAUGUCUCUUGUUUAAUUUAUUUAUUUCCCCCCUGAUCAAUAGCAUUCAUCCUACUCAAUGAACAGACUUGAUACCGCUUUUAUGGUGUGAAAAUUACUGUUGCUUUGACUGGCUCCUAUUACCAGGUGACACUGCUCGGCAGAAAACAAUGAAUCUUCCUAUUAUUUGGAAAAUAAAUGUGAUUUAUGGGACUGACAAUCGAUAGUGGUCU
ensembl:lncRNA